rnacentral:RNase_P_RNA from 1 species
UCAACCGGACGGUCGCGGGGGCGCGGGAAACCGUACGCCACGAGGAAAGUCCGAGCAUCACAGAGCAGGGUGCCGGGUAACACCCGGUGAAGGCGACUUCAAGGACAGUGCAACAGAAAUAGACCGCCGCGCUUGCCGCGGUAAGGAUGGAAAGGCGGGGUAAGAGCCCACCGUGCGGCCGGCGACGGCCGCAGCCCUGUAAACCCCACCCGAUGCAAGACAGAAGGAACAAGGUCCGCUCUGUACCUCCUUCGCCCACGUCGCUUGACACCGCAGGCAACUGCGGCGCUAGACAGAUGACCGUCGAAAACAGAACUCGGCUUACGGGUUGACUUGU